UAGAACUUGAAAUCGGCCCCAAUUAAUCGGCCAUUCCGAUUAAUCGGUCGACCUAUAGUACUGACUCUGUUAGUGGAAUGGACUGACCUUUAGUAUAGAUGCCUGCAAAUCACAUACUAAUUUCAGUCUCAAUUCCUGGUGUUUCUGUAACAUGCUUGUCUUCAAUGUAAAACAUUCUAUAUUCAGCUGGGCUUGUGUUGGAGAGGCUGGUUCAUUCAGUUCAGUAGAUCCCUGUGUGACAACCAACCACAGUGACCAUUUGGUAGUUGACAACACAGAAUCAUCUCAUUGACCACUGGCACCACACUAUCAGAGUCUGUUUCAGUCUCAUACAUUAAUAUGGAAAGCCCCAUCUUGGAAGAGGGUGAGGUGCAAUGUUGUCACCUUGUCGUGUGAUGAUGUUGUCACGUGUGUGUGUGUGUGUGUGUGUGUGUGUGUGUGUGUGUGUGUGCAUCCAGUGUUUUGGCCUGUGCCUGUUUAGCUGCAGUUUUGUUUUGCCGUGUCUGAUGUUUUGGCCUGUGUCUGAGGUGUUUUGGUUGUGUUAUUUGGAUUAGAGUAACAUGUUUUCUGGCCUGUAUAUAAGGUGUCACCUUUCCAGCCUGGGUUGAAGUGUAAUGUGCUGCUAUUUUCGCAGGCUGCUGUGGACACUGGUCAUACCAACAAAUUUAUGUCUGUAUGUGCAUAUGUUACCGCCGUGAAAUGGCAGGCUAGUUAGUGGUGGUGCGCGCUAAUAACGUUUCAAUCGGUGACGUCACUCGCUCUGAAACCUUGAAGUAGUUGUUUCCCUUGCUCUGCAAGGACCGUGGUUUUUGUGGAGCGAUGGGUGACGAUGCUUCGGCGGUGUCAGUAGUUGUGUUCAAAGGGUCCCUGGUUCAAGCCCAGGUAGGGGCGAGGAGAGGGACGGAAGGAAAACGGUUACACAUAUAGAUGUGUGUGUGCAAUGUACAUAUGUAGACCUAUUGUACAGAGGACCAUUCUGUAGGACAAGUGUGAUACAUGCUUUAUGAUGCUGUUGUUUUAGCACUAUGUUCUUCUCUCAGGCUGAUGAGCUGUAGAUUUCUCUCACAGAAAGACUCUCGCCUGAGCAUGACCUGUUGCCAUGGCUACAGCUAGCCACUGACAACAUCUGAUGCACAGAGAGAAAGAUCAUCCUGCAGUGCUCCACAGAUCACCCACAGGCACUGUUGGGCCAGUGCGGAGGCAAUCACACACAGCCACCGACCAUGCAUCUGACCACGGUCGACCACAGAUUGACCACAGUGUCUGCAGCUUCAUAUGUAGUACAUACAGUUGAAGUUGGAAGUUGACAGACAUUUAGGUUGGAGUCAUUAAAACUCGUUUUUCAACUACUCCACAAAUUUCUUGUUAGCAAACUAUAGUUUUGGCAAGUCUGUUAGGACAUCUACUUUGUGCAUGACACAAGUAAUUAUUCCAACAAUUGUUUACGGACAGAUUAUUUCACCUAUAACUCACUGUGUCACAAUUCCAGUGGGUCAGAAGUUUACAUACACUAAGUUGACUGUGCCUUUAAACAGCUUGGAAAAUUCCAGAAAAUAAUGCCAUGGCUUUAGAAGCUUCUGAUUGGCUAAUUGACAUAAUUUGAGUUAAUUGGAGGUGGCCUUCCUUCGAACUCAGUGCCUCUUUGCUUGACAUCAUGGUUAAAUCUAAAGAAAUCAACCAAGACCUCAGAAAAACAAUUGUGGAGACAAGUCUGGUUUCUCCUUGGGAGCAAUUUCCAAAUGCCUGAAGGUACCACGUUCAUCUUUACAAACAAUAGUAAGCAAGUAUAAACACCAUGGGACCACACAGCCGGCAUACCGCUCAGGAAGCUCUGUCUCCUAGAGAUGAACGUACUUUGGUGCGAAAAGUGCAAAUCAAUCCCCGAACAACAGCAAAGGACCUUGUGAAGAUGCUGGAGGAAACGGCUACAAAAGUAUCUAUAUCCACAGUAAAACAAGUCCUAUAUCGACAUAACCCGAAAGGCCGCUCAGCAAGGAAGAAGCCACUGCUCCAAAACCAUAAGGCCAGACUACGGUUUGCAACUGCACAUGGGGACAAAGAUCAUACUUUUUGGAGAAAGGUCCUCUGGUCUGAUGAAACAAAAAUAGAACUGUUUGUCCAUAAGGACCAUCGUUGUGUUUGGAGGAAAAACGGGGAGGCUUGCAAGCAGAAGAACACCAUCCCAACCGUGAAACAUGGGUGUCAGCAUCAUGUUGUGGGGUUGCUUUGCUGGUGCACUUCCCAAAAUAGCUGGCAUCAUGAGGCAGGAAUAUUAUGUGGAUAUAUUGAAGCAACAUCUCAAGACAUCAGUGUGAAAGCUUGGUUGCAAAUGGGUCUUCCAAAUUGUCUAUGACCCCAAGUAUCCUUCCAAAGUUGUGGCAAAAUGGCGUAAGGACAACAAAGUCAAGGUAUUGGAGUGGCCAUUUAUAAAGCCCUGACCUCAAUCCCAUAGAAAAUCUGUGGGCGGAACUGAAAAAGUGUGUGUGAGCAAGGAGGCCUACAAACCUGACUGUUACACCAGCUCUGUCAGGAGGAAUGGGCCAAAAUUCACCCAACUUAUUGUGGGAAGCUUGUGGAAGGCUACCUGAAACAUUUGACCCAAGUUGAACCAUUUUAAAGGCAAUUACACUCCAUUGGUAUUUGGUACAUGUAAACUUCUGACCCACUGAAUUUGAGGAAAGAAUUAACAGCUGAAAUAAAUAAAUCCCUCUACUGUUAUUCUGACAUUUCACAUUCUUAAAAUAAAUUGGUGAUCCGAACUGACCUAAGACAGGGAAUUUUUACGAGGAUUAAAUGUCAGGAAUGGUGAAAAACUGAGGUUAAAUGUAUUUGGCUAAGGUGUAUGUAAACUUCCGACUUCAACUAAAUAUAGCUGCAAACAAUCAAUGCUGAACCACAGUUAGACAUCGCAUCGCUUGUGGAGCACAGAGGAGGUCAAAGAAUAGCCAACCAAGGGGGAAAAAACUAUCGCCUCAAAAGCAAAAUCAGCCUUUACACCACUUUGGGCUAUAUUUGGGCAUUAUGGAAACCCAUAACAAACUCCAUGACCCUUUACCAAUUCCAGUCAGAUGACUUAGUGUGACGCACAAAUAUGAGGGGACUUUUUGUCUCUUUUUGAUCAACUGCUGUGAUUAAUGGCUGUGAAUUCCAGAGCCACAAAUCUGCAGGGGAAAGGCCUCUUUUUAAUUUAACCAGUCUUAAUCUUUGGUCUGUGGUGCUGUCUGCCUCCCCUCCAGUAACAUGCCUGUGACCCUCAUCCCUGUCAAAACCGUCCCCCCCCCCCCAGCACAGCCCCACUACUGAUAACACUGCUUGGAAUGGGUGCCGUGAACGGAGAGGAGUGAUGCGAAUGCACAGACCAGUGGAGAGUGAAGACUGUGGUCGAGCAGGCAGAGGACUGGUCCCGCGAGUGCACAGGCAGCGGGGUCGUGCAAAUUAAGUUUGAGUUGCAUGUGUGACUUUAAGUAAGCAGUACUUCUUUGCCGCAUGCAAAAUAUUAAUUUGAGAGUAGUUUAUUCAUAAUUUUUUUGCAGAGAUACUUAAACAUCUUGCUCUCGCAUCUUCAAUCUUUUACUAUCAUUUUAUUAGAGGUGAAAAUUCUAGCCAAUGAACAUGGUUGUCACUAGUUAAACACAGCCACAAAGUCAUACUUAUUAUGGCUAAACCCAGCCUAUUUCUACAAUUUAUCUUCUUAAAAUCUGUUUUUAAACUUAACCACACUGCUAACCUUUUGCCUAACCAUAACUUUAAAGUUAAGACCAAAAAGCACAUCUUUGUUUUUCAUGAAUUUUUACUAUAGAGUAAAGCUGUGUUAUCUAGUAUAAACCAGAUUUUGACGUUGAAAGGCAAUGUAACCUAACGUAGCGGGCGUUAAAAAAACAACAUUUAAAAAAAAAAAAAAAAAAGAACACCUGAGUGUAGUUCCCACGUACGGGUUUCAGCAGAAAAUAAAGCUAGAUUGUAUUUGCUGUAUCCCUAAAACCGUAUACAUCCAGUUGUUGGCAACUUCUCUCAGACUGAAGGCAAGGUGAUGGUGUAAGGACGAUGGCUGACAAUAAAAAGGUAAGCUCUAUAACCUAACCAGCCAACUAAUCAACUAGGAUUUCAGUAUUUCAAUUGAAGUAGGUAGUUAUUUGGUUUUCUGAUGUUAAAGCAGGCUAUUGAUUAGGCAAGCUAGAUCAGCGCCAGCUAGCUAGGAUAGGAUAUAGCUAGCUGAUGUUUAACCACAUAUAAAAUGUACCAGUAUCUUUGGUUAACCAAGAGCAUUGUAGCUAGCUAACUAAGUUAACGAGGGGUUGCUAGAGAAGGAGGACUUGGAAGACCAGCCAGACUGUGAGGGAGUGGUGAGAACAGACAGGGAAGGCCCUCCCUAAGGUAGAGGUGAUUGAGAUUGGGUAAGUGGGAGGCAAGCUCAAACUCUGAAAUAAAUAGCCAAUAUUAUAAACUGCAUUGAGAUAGUCUCUUUGAAAUACACUUCUGAUAACCUUUACUCUGGCAGUUUUUCUGCAGUUACAAUAAAGGAUAAUUACCUCUAACAAUCUCUCUCUCUCCAUGCAGGCCCACUGUCACUAUGUGGUGGGGAAGUUGUCCUCUGCUUCGCUGACAAAGAUAGGAGAUACAGGAGUCCACUCUAUUCCAAGUACCUUGGCUCUCCACCAUGCACAGCACUCUGGAGGCUUCAUGCAGUCGUUCUCAGGAGACGGGUGAGUGCAGAGAACAUACUGUAUGUCUGACAAAGUGGAGUCGGGCUUCUACUUCAUUGGCCAAGUUUGGAUCUGCGAGUCACCUUUGACCUUGAUGUAACUUUCAUCGAAGACUUGGGGUCAUUGGUGUUCCCUAACUCACCUUGUGACUUGCACAACUCAGCACAUAUGUACCCCUCCACCUUCCUCAGUGGAGUCCCGGCCAGGGGUAUCAAACUCCAAUGUCCAUGUACAUGUUAUGUUGGCGUAGUUACCGGACCAGUGAGAAGAGGCGUUGAUGAUAGUGAUGUGUCCCAGUGUGGUCUCCACAAACAGCCGCUGUGCCAACACCAUGCCUGAUAACGACAACCAGAUGGUAUUCCUCCACCCUGGAUCACUGCAAACACACACCUAGUCUUUUUCUCUGUGAAUAUUUGUUGCGCGUGAGAGAGUGCGUAAUGGGUCUGUAUAUGUGAGUGUGUGUUUAGUGUAGGAGAUGCGUGUGUAUUUGAGUCUACUCUGAGUCUGUAUACACCCUGUAUUACAUGCCUGUGUUUUUGUUCUUGUGUGUGAUUGUGUCAUGUUUUGUGACAUCCCUCUCUUGUCUCCUCAGAUAUUUGGUGCUCCCCGGACCAGGGUUUUUGAGGCAGGGAUGGACUACUGUUAGUCUGAGCUUGCCCCGCAGUCAGCAUACACACACAUUAACUGGAUUGUGCUAAUGCCCUACUGUAAGAACCUGGAGAUCUUCACUGGUUCUGAGGUAGGUGACCUGACCACCAACAGUUCCUGGGACACGUUCCAGCGUUACCGCUGUCUGGAGAACAUCCUGAGCGUGGUCAACAGACAUCUGCUGCAACUUCAUAUCUAGCGUGUCAGUUCUGCUGCACCAGGGAGCUAAAGGUGCCCUUCUUUGCGAGGCAUUGGAAAACCUCCCUGGUCUUUGUCGUUACGUGUGCUGGAAAUUCCAUGCUCAACUGAGGGACCUUCCAGAUAAUCAAACAGUUGGUGUGGUGUACAGAGAUGGGGUGGCUCUGGCUUGCUGAUAACAUCUGAUCUGAUGAGACUCCCUAUGAGAUUUGACUCCUGUAUUACUGCCUGUAUUCAAUACAACUUCCAAUGCCGAUUUUAAAUAAUUUGACACUGUAAUUUGAUAGACAAUGGUAGUUCCCAAUCAGACAUUUACUACCUCAGUUAAAUGUUUGGUGAAUGCAUAUUGUUGAUGUAAAAACAAUAUUUCUCCCAACCCUCCCCUUGUACUGUAAUUUGUCUCGUUGAAAAUGAUUAUUUAUGUCCACAAAUAACUGGAGUGACCCUGUGUUUUUAAACUUGGAUAUCGACUUUGCCUCUUCAACCACUCAGGGCUACAGGCCAGAUGGUUGAGUGGUCGGGAACCACCACGAACGAGCUCAUUCUCCCUGCCUGUUUCAUUCGACCUACACUACCAUUAGGCAGACACUCUGCUAGGUGGCAAAUCAGAUUUAAAAAUAUAUAUAUUGUGAUAAUUAUACUGAACAAAAAAAUAUAAACAAAAUGCAACAAUUAUACUGAGGUACAGUUAACUUAAGGAAAUCAGUCAAUGUAAAUAAAUUCAUUAGGCCCUUAUCUAUGCAUUUCACAUGGAAUGCACUUGGGAGCCAGGCCCAGCCAAUCAGAAUGAGUUUUUCCCCACAAAAGGGCUUUAUUACAGACAGAAAUGCUCAGUUUCAUCAGCGGAUGUGGAGGUCCUGGGCUGGCGUGGUUACAUGUUUUCUGGUAACAGCUCUGGUGAACAUUCUUGCAGACAACAUUCCAAUUGGACGCUUCUUCAAAUUGAGACUUAUGUGGCAUUGUGUUGUUUUCUAAAACUACACAUUUUAGUGGCCUUCUAUUGUCACCAGCACAAGGUGCCCCUGUGUAAUGUGUUUUCAUCAGCUUCUUGAAAUGCCAAACCUGUCAGGUGGGUGGAUUAUCUUGGCAAAGGAGAAAUGCUCACUGACAGGGAUGUAAACAAAUUUGUUCACAAAAUGUGAGAAAUAGGUCAGGAUCAAGGGAAAGAUGAAUGGAGCAAAGUACAGAGAGAUCUUUGAUAACCUGCUCCAGAGCACUCAGGAAAACAACCCUAAGCACACAACCAAGACAAUGCAGGAGUGGCUUCGGGACAAGUCUCAAUGUCCUUGAGUGGCCCAGCCAGAGCCCGGACUUGAACCCAAUCACACAUCUCUGGAGAGUUCUGAAAAUAGCUUUGCAGCAACACUCCCCAUCCAACCCGAUAGCUUGAGAGGAUCUGCAGAGAAGAAUGGGAGAAACACCCCAAAUACAGGUGUACGAAGCGUGUAGCGUCGUACCCAAGAAGACUUGAGUCUGUAAUCGCUGUCAAAGGUGCUUCAACACAGUACUGAGGAAAGGGUCUGAAUAAUGUAAUUGUGAUAUUUUAUUGUUUGUUUGUACAUUUGCAAAAAUGUCAAAACACCUGUUUUUGCUUUUGUCAUUAUGGGGUAUUGUGUGUAGAUUGAUGAGGGGGGGGAAACAAUUUAAUACAUUUUAGAAUAAUGCUGUAAUGGAAUGUGGAAAAGUUCUAGGGGUCUGAACACUUUCCGAAUGCACUGUAUAUACCUACAGUGCAGAUAUUUUUCAAAGUGACCGGGACAAUGAAGUCAGAUACUUAUUUACAUUGUGGUCCCUAUUAUUUAUGUAAACACACAUACAUAUAUAUAUAUAUAUCAGUGCCUUGCGAAAGUAUUCGGCCCCCUUGAAC